AAAGUACCACUCGCUAUGAAGCGCAUAGAUGAAAUUGACCAACGUGUUGAAGGCGGCCAUGGAGGCGUCGGAGAAAGCCAGGUUCACAAGGAAGUAGUUGGUGACAGUCCUCAUGCGCUUGUGGGCCAGGAUGAUCCAGAUGACGAUGAGAUUUCCCAAAACUGCCACUGCCACCACCACACCAUACGCCAGGGACCAGAGCGCGAUGCGCCAGGACGGCUGCACGAACUGUUCUGUCACCCAGGCUGGAAUGCAGUGGUGCAAUCAUAGCUCACUGCAGCCUUCGACUCCUGGCUCAAGCGAUCCUUCCCCACCUCAGCUUCCUGAGUAGCUAGUACUACAGGCAUGUGCCACCAGUGCCACCACAACCAGCUAAUUUAAAUUUGUUGUUGUUGUUGUUGCGACAUGGUCUGGCAAUGUCGUUCAGCCUGGUCUCCAACUCCUGGCCUUAAGCAAUCUUCCCAGCUCGGCCUCCCAAAAGGCUGGACCUCCAACAAUGCUGGGAUUACAGGCAUGAGCCACUGUGCCUGGCCCUUCUGCAUUCUUUAGUUUUCCAGUUUAAAAUAUACUCUUCAAAGAACCUGCUGUGAUGAUUGGACAAGUGGACUUAAGCCUGCCAAGUGCCUGGGAUUGCAGGCGCGCGCCGCCACGCCUGACUGGUUUUCAUAUUUUUUUGGUGGAGACGGGGUUUCGCUGUGUUGGCCGGGCUGGUCUCCAGCUCCUAACCGCGAGUGAUCUGCCAGCCUCAGCCUCCCGAGGUGCCAGGAUUGCAGACGGAGUCUCACUCACUCACUGCUCAGUGUUGCCCAGGCUGGAGUGCAGUGGCGUGAUCUCCGCUAGCUACAACCUCCACCUCCCAGCCGCCUGCCUUGGCUUCCCAAAGUGCCGAGAAUGUAGCCUCUGCCCGGCUGCCACCCCAUCUGGGAAGUGAGGAGCGUCUCUGCCUGGCCGCCCAUCGUCUGGGAUGUGAGGAGCCCCUCUGCCCGGCCGCCCAGUCUGGGAAGUGAGGAGCGCCUCUUCCCGGCCGCCAUCCCGUGUAGGAAGUGAGGAGCGUCUCUGCCCGGCCGCCCAUCGUCUGAGAUGUGGGGAGCGCCUCCGCACCGCCGCCCCGCCGCCCCCUCUGGGAUGUGAGGAGUGCCUCUGCCCAGCCGCGACCCCAUCUGGGAGGUGAGGAGCCCCUCUGCCCAGCAGCCGCCCCGUCUGGGAGGGAGGUGGGGGGCAGCCCCCGCCCGGCCAGCCGCCCCGUCUGGGAGGUGGGGGGCACCUCCGCCUGGCUGCCCUGUCUGGGAAGUGAGGAGCCCCUCUGCCUAGCAGCCACCCCAUCUGGGAGGUGUACCCAACAGCUCAUUGAGAACAGGCCAUGAUGACGAUGGCGGUUUUGUCGAAUAGAAAAGGGGGAAAUGUGGGAAAAAGAUAGAGAAAUCAGAUUGUUGCUGUGUCUGUGUAGAGGGAAGUAGACGUAGGAGACUCCAUUUUGUUCUGUACUAAGAAAAAUUCUUCUGCCUUGGGAUGCUGUUAAUCUAUAACCUUACCCCCAACCCCGUGCUCUCUGAAACAUGUGCUGUGUCCACUCAGGGUUAAAUGGAUUAAGGGCGGUGCAAGAUGUGCUUUGUUAAACAGAUGCUUGAAGGCAGCAUGCUCUAUAAGAGUCAUCACCACUCCCUAAUCUCAAGUACCCAGGGACACAAACACUGCCAAAGGCCACAGGGUCCUCUGCCUAGGAAAACCAGAGACCCUUGUUCACAUGUUUAUCUGCUGACCUUCCCUCCACUAUUGUCCUAUGACCCUGCCAAAUCCCCCUCUCUGAGAAACACCCAAGAAUGAUCAAUAAAUACUAAAAAAAAAAAAAAAAAAAAGAAAUGGUAACAAUGGAUACCUUUACCUUGUUUCCAAUCUUAGUGGGAAAGUAUUCAGUUUUUCACCAUUAUGAAUGAUGUUAUCUAUAGGUUCUUUGUAGAUGGCCCUCAUCAAUUUGAGGAAGUUCCCUUCUAUUCCUAGUUUGCUGACUAUAUUUAUCAUGGCCCGAAGGUGAACUUUUUCAAAUGCCUUUUCUGUAUCUAUUGGGACAACCAUAUGGUUUGUUUUUUAAUACACUUAUGUGGUGAAUUGCAUUUAUUGAUUUUUGAAUGUUACAGUAUACUUACAUUCCUGGUAUAAAUUCUACUUUUUCAUGAUGUAUUAUCUUUUAAAAAUAUGAUUAAAAUAUGAUUGAAUGUAGUUUACUAAUAAAAAUAAAUAAAUAAAUAAAAAACAUGUUUAAAAAAAAGAAAUAGGAAGGUACGGAGAAAAAUGAGAGUGUUUAACUGUGUAAGAGAAUGUGGUGCCCACUGAUUCUGGAUUGUUCCAACUUCUCUUGUAAAUGUUUGAGAUGGACAUGCUAAUUACCCUUAAC